GCUGCCUCUCAGCAACGUGUUCAUAACUCCCUGCAGGAAUUAUUAAAACAACGGAGAUAUAACCAGUAUAAUGGAGCUAUUGGUAAAAACACCGAAGAAAGGAAGAUGCCGAUUAAGGCGAUUUAAUUCUGGCGAAAAUGGCAGAAAAAAAAAAAAGAAAAAUAGUGAAGUUCAUUCAUUUCCUUCUCGCAGCAGUGGGCGGAAUUUAAGUGAGAUGGGGGAUUUUGAAAGGUGGGAUAUUUGAGUGUCUCAUCAGGCCUCUGAGAAGAGUCUGGAGAUUCCUGUGCUGCCGUGGACCUGAAGAGACAGUCUGAACGAUUUCCACAAUAUCAGCAGGAAACACUUGAAGUCAUUAGCAUACUUCUUAAUAGAUCAGUAGUUCAUGAAUAGGAAAUAGCAAUGUGUAUGAAAAUGUAACCAUUUGAAUAUUACAUUAAUUUAGUACAAAGUGUUACUUUGUGUACUAAACACCAUGAAACACUGUGGCAAAAAUGUAUUUCUCUAUGUAAUGUUUUAUUAGAAAUAAAACGUUCAGUGGAAGAAACCUCACCACUUUUCAGUGACCAUAGCUCUGUCCGUCCAUGGUGAAGAUCCUCAGGUUGUUUAUCUUCACUGAGAUGAUAAUAUUGAAUGAAUUGAAGACCAGACAAUCAACAGAAAUUUUGGACCUACAUUUUAAAGCCAAGUUUAAAAGACUGAGAAGAUGGAUAUACUUCCCCUUGAAUCUUCGGCCCAGCUGUCCGACAUGUCCAUCUGACUGCCAUACUGACAUGAAAUGGGUUUCUGCUGCCAGAAUGUGAUGUGUAACAGCCAAGGUACUCUAUCAUUAUUACCUACUCAGGUGACCACACUUUGUGCAAGCUUUUCAGCGAUUGUCUCUUCAAACGUCUGGACAGCUUGAUCUUCACUGUUGCCAAACUGACAAAGACAGUAGUGCACAAACAGACCCAAGUUGGUUGGUUUAGGUCCAUGCAAGGAGGCAUUAGA